AGUUCAAGGCUCCCGGCUCCAACUGGAACCUGGCGUUGACCGCCUGGUUGCGACUCUCCUGGCCGCUGAGUUUAGCUGCGGGCUCCCUGCACCGGGUCGGUUCAGAUGUACCACGAGCAGAGCCUGAGAAAGGAUUAUAAAAAAGAAAUGCACUGUGGAAUCUGCUAAAGUCAGACUGACUCCUUGGUUUAGAGGAGCGUUGGGUUCUUUGUAUAAGUAGGCAUAUGAAGAGAGCAGUUAGCGGCUGGGGGAUGUAGCUCAGUGGUAGAGCGCGCGCUUCGCAUGUGUGAGGUCCCGGGUUCAAUCCCCGGCAUCUCCAAGCAGCCGGAAUUCUGUUUUUCAUUCUUUCUCAAAGAAAAGAUUUUCACUUGUACAUUUUGCCCACCACUACAACAUCGAAAACCGAAAACAAAAAGGCCGUGAAAAAUCUGCAGUGUGGAAAACUCACUCUAGUGAUUGCUGGGAAAACAAGUGAAACGAAAUGCUAGGAAGAAAAAUUCGUAGUUUCUUUCUUCAUUAAUGUUAAUAUUUUAGAAAAACAAGAUUUGAAACAAAAAGGCAAGUGCAUUGGCCGGGAAUCGAACCCGGGCCUCCCGCGUGGCAGGCGAGAAUUCUACCACUGAACCACCAAUGCAAGCACAUAUUAUGGUGUUCUGUUAUACUAUACUAGGAUAUAUUUACACAUGAGUAAUUCUUGUGUCAAUUCUGUUUUUAUAUAUAUAUUUAAAAAUUAGGAAAAGAAACAGAAUUCUUUUGUUUUUCUCCUUAAGUUUUUAAAUCUCACUUACAUACAUUGUAUUUGAAGAUAGUUCCACUGAUCACAGAAUCUUAGGGCAGAAAACGUUUCUACAUGUAUCAUUGAGCAUGUCACAGAGUUUUAAAUUCAACGAUCGUUAAAUAUUGGCAAAAUAUUAACAUUUUAAAAUUCUUACUAUUCUAACUUUUGUUAAAAAUCACAAGUAGUACCCUAAGGCCUACUUUCCUAAGGAUGAAAAUCAGGGCAUGGAAAUGAAGAACCCAGGUAUAAUUCUCACAUGCAGAUGCUGAGGAUGUGGAGACGGUUCCUGGAAGGCAGUCAUUGCAUAGUCAUCUGCUUGCAUUUUCCAGUUCUCAGGCAAGUCUGACUGGUCAACAACUCCGAGCUUCUGUCUUAAAAGGAAUCUGAAUCCUGUUCUUCCUCCUCAUGCCAGUCUCUCCUACUCUGUGCAGACAAUUAUCACCUUGGUCCCUAGGCUGAAAACACAGCAUAGCCUUUGUCAUGCUAUGUGCAGCUGCUAGUUGACUUUUCUCUCUCCCUCACCUAUUCCCCCUCUUCUCCAUCGUUCCUUUGUUAUUGAUUCUAAAACUGAAUUAUUUUCCAAGCACUACAGAGGGUAUGGAAUGGAAUGGGGGUGUGCCUGUGAAUACACCAUCCUUUUUUUUUUUUUUUUUUGAGCACUUAUUCUAAGAGUCUAAGAGUCUCAGUGCCAUAUGACCACUACCAUCUCUUAGAGAAAAUAAAAUGUUGCCUGUAUUACCCAAGGCUCUCUUAUUCCCAAGUCAUGUGUAAUAGUAAUUUUUCCAUUACUCUUUCCUAAAUAGUAUCCUAAGGUCAAGUUUCCUAAAAAUCAGAAUCGAGGCAUGGGGGUGAAGAAUGCAGCUGCAACAAGAAGAUGUGUGAAGAUGAUGAAAAGUGCUUUUCAUACAACCUGGUCAUUCCUUCAGCCUGGUCCUUGGCAGACAACUCCUGAUGUUGCAUGGUAAGAAUAAGUCUGUAGGCAACGCUUUGGACGAGCGCCAUUUUGGAUGAUUAUAACACAUUCCUGCAAGUAAAUUUGCUGAGGGGAAAGUUGAGCCUUUUUUUUAAGACAGAAUAUCCCUGUAUCUCCCUUCUGGCCUUGAAUUUGCAGAGAUCUGCUUGCCUCUGCCUCCUGGGUGUUGGGAUUAAGGACAUAUACUACCAUGCCAGGAGUAAUCUGAAUACACAGUGUAGAAUUAUAACACUGAGAAAUCUACUCUUUCCACAUUUGUAAUAUCUCAUUAUGUUGGUUGUUCUGCCUUGUGCUGUAAUAAACACCUUGCCCAAAAGCAGCUUGGGGAGGAAAGGGUUUAUUCCAGCUAAUAGUGUAUAGCCCAUCACAAAAGGAAGUCAGAGUAGAACUCCAGACAAAAACCUAGAGACAGACCACCUACCCAAGGAUGGCAUCACUCAUAGUGAGCUGGGUUUUCCUUCAUCAACAAACAGUCAAGAAAAUGCUAGACCAUUUGGGUUCCAUAAUGAAGGUACCACCUCUUCCUUC
rnacentral:lncRNA from 1 species